UACGGGGGGGGUAAGCGUUGUUCGGAAUUACUGGGCGUAAAGGGCUCGUAGGCGGCCAACUAAGUCAUACGUGAAAUCCCUCAGCUUAACUGGGGAACUGCGUGUGAUACUGGAUGGCUUGGAUUUGGGAGAGGGAUGCGGAAUUCCAGGUGUAGCGGUGAAAUGCGUAGAUAUCUGGAGGAAUACCGGUGGCGAAGGCGGCAUCCUGGACCGACAUUGACGCUGAUGAGCGAAAGCUAGGGGAGCAAACGGG
rnacentral:rRNA from 1 species